rnacentral:tRNA from 1 species
ACGGGAAUAGCUCAGUUGGUAGAGCAUCGGUCUCCAAAACCGAGUGUCGGGAGUUCGAGCCUCUCUUUCCGUG